rnacentral:rRNA from 1 species
UACGGAGGGUGCAAGCGUUAAUCGGAAUUACUGGGCGUAAAGCGUGCGCAGGCGGUUUGUUAAGUCUGUUGUGAAAUCCCCCGAGCUCAACUUGGGAAUUGCAAUGGAUACUGGCAGGCUGGAGUAUGGUAGAGGAAGGUGGAAUUCCCGGUGUAGCAGUGGAAUGCGUAGAGAUCCGGAGGAAGACCGGUGGCGAAGGCGGUCUGCUGGGCAGUUUCUGGACAUUGAGGCGCGACAGCGUGGGGAGCAAACAGG